ACAUAACAUCAUUAUCAUCCCCAGCGUCAGAUCCGCAAAACAAGACGAGGCCGCACGCUCCUUCAGAGGUCGAAGCUCUUCUCGCUCAUAGCGUACUGGGAAACAUGCGAUUCGCGGAGAUUGAGGGGCUCGUGGGGCAUGUGCCGGUGUUCUGAAAAAACAUCAUACCCAUCAGAAUGGGAUACCUUCGGUUAAUGCGCAUGCGCAGCAGUGAAAUUUGUAGACUUGAAAAUGAAAUUUAAAACAUCAUUUCAGCAUACCUAAGAUUACAAGCGUUUAACCAUGGAAAAUAAGUGGGAGGAAAUUUUCAAUUACCUUUUAAAGGGUUCAUAUCCUGCAGAGCUAAAUAAAGGGCAGAAGCAAAGCCUAAGGAAAUACUCUUCGAAAUUCAGGAUUCACGAUGGAGAACUACUCUUUGGCAGUCACAGAAGAGUCAUAAAGACAAAGGAGGAGGCUAUGAAUUUAUUUAAAGAAUUUCAUGCCAAGAUGGACGCACAAGGAGUGUACCCCUGCAACCCUUGCCUCAGAGCAUUUCAAGUGUAAAAAAUUCGAAGCAGCUACAUGAUAUUGACAACAAAGGUUGUGAACUACAACAUUUUUUUUACAAUCGAUCAAAAUGGGCAAGUAUAUUUUUAAGCAUGUACUUUAGAGAUGAAUAUUCAAUGUGUCGUAACCAAGAUAGGGACCGUCUAAAAAGUUAAUAUUGUUUUUCAUCGUGUGCAAACAGACAACUACAUUUUAGCCAACUGCAGAUGUAGCCUA